AAAUUGAAGAGUUUGAUCAUGGCUCAGAUUGAACGCUGGCGGCAGGCCUAACACAUGCAAGUCGAACGGUAACAGGAAGCAGCUUGCUGCUUCGCUGACGAGUGGCGGACGGGUGAGUAAUGUCUGGGAAACUGCCUGAUGGAGGGGGAUAACUACUGGAAACGGUGGCUAAUACCGCAUAACGUCGCAAGACCAAAGAGGGGGACCUUCGGGCCUCUUGCCAUCAGAUGUGCCCAGAUGGGAUUAGCUGGUUGGUGAGGUAACGGCUCACCAAGGCGACGAUCCCUAGCUGGUCUGAGAGGAUGACCAGCCACACUGGAACUGAGACACGGUCCAGACUCCUACGGGAGGCAGCAGUGGGGAAUA
rnacentral:rRNA from 1 species